rnacentral:miRNA from 1 species
CACCGCCACCGCCUUAG